GGGCGCGUAGCUCAGUGGUAGAGCAUCUGACUUUUAAUCAGAUGGUCGUGGGUUCGAUCCCCACCGCGCCCUCCA
rnacentral:tRNA from 1 species